AUCUCAGCCUGCUAACCAGCCGACACACAGACAGCAGCCUCUGGUUUAUCCUCCAUAUAGUUACUUCCCUCUUCUCUCCUCUGCCUAUAGGAACCAAAUGUUCUCCCCAUAUGGAUACCCGAUGAUUGUUGAACCAACCCUUCCACAAAAUCCAGCAAAUCCACCUCCGAACAGUCCUGUGUUACCUGCAGAAACUCUUACUGGUCCUGCUCCUUCAGGUGCAGUUCAACCCGUGCUGCAGCAACAACAGAAUCCCCAAAUUAUAUACAUGCUCCAGCAAUCCAAGAGUCCUACCCUUGGCAGUUUGAGCUCAGAGGAACUCCAG